rnacentral:rRNA from 1 species
UACGGAGGGGGCUAGCGUUGUUCGGAAUUACUGGGCGUAAAGCGCACGUAGGCGGCUUUGCAAGUCAGAGGUGAAAGCCCGGGGCUCAACCCCGGAAUUGCCUUUGAGACUGCAUCGCUAGAAUUGUGGAGAGGUAAGUGGAAUUCCGAGUGUAGAGGUGAAAUUCGUAGAUAUUCGGAAGAACACCAGUGGCGAAGGCGACUUACUGGACAAGUAUUGACGCUGAGGUGCGAAAGCGUGGGGAGCAAACAGG